GCGCACCAGGCGAGAAUACUUUACAAUGUGCGAAAGCACGAUAAGGGAACUCUGAGUGCCUCCUAAGGAGGCUGUUCAGGUGUCUAAAAAGCACCUGGAGUAAGGGCUGGGUAAGACCGGUGCCAGCCGCCGCGGUAACACCGGCAGCCCAGGUGGUAGCCACUUUUAUUGGGUCUAAAGCGUCCGUAGCCGGUUGAGUAAGUUCCUUGGGAAAUUUGGCUGCUCAACAGUCAAGCUUCCAGGGAAUACUGCUCGACUUGGGACUGGGAGAGGUCAGAGGUACUCCGAGGGGUAGGGUGAAAUCCAUUAAUCCCUGGGGGACCACCGGUAGCGAAGGCGUCUGACCAGACCAGGUCCGACGGUGAGGGACGAAGGCUAGGGUCGCGAACCGGAUUAGA
rnacentral:rRNA from 1 species